rnacentral:rRNA from 1 species
UGCAGUCGAGUGGGUUUAGGCCCACGGCAAACGGGUUAGUAAUGCAUAGGAAUUUUCCUCGAAGUCGUGAAUAAUCCGGAGAAAUCCGGAAUAAUACACGAUGUGCUCUACGGAGUAAAGAUUUAUCGCUUUGAGAGAAGCCUAUGUCCUAUCAGCUUGUUGGUGGUGUAAAGGACCACCAAGGCUAUGACGGGUAGGGGGUGUGAGAGCACGGCCCCCAACAUUGGGACUGAGACACUGCCCAAACUCCUACGGGAGGCUGCAGUCGAGAAUAUUCGUCAAUGCGCGAAAGCGUGAACGAGCGACGCCGCGUGCGGGAUGAAGGCCUUCGGGUUGUAAACCGCUUUUGUAAGGGAAGAAUUUCGAUGACGGUACCUUACGAAUAAGAGGUUACUAACUCUGUGUACGUG